rnacentral:rRNA from 1 species
UUUAUGGAGAGUUUGAUCCUGGCUCAGGAUGAACGCUGGCGGCGUGCCUAAUACAUGCAAGUCGAGCGAACGGACGAGAAGCUUGCUUUUCUGAUGUUAGCGGCGGACGGGUGAGUAACACGUGGAUAACCUACCUAUAAGACUGGGAUAACUUCGGGAAACCGGAGCUAAUACCGGAUAAUA